rnacentral:rRNA from 1 species
UACGGAGGAUCCUAGUGUUAUCCGGAUUUAUUGGGUUUAAAGGGAGCGUAGGCGGGAGGUCAAGUCAGCUGUGAAAUGUAUCUGCUUAACGGGUACACUGCAGUUGAAACUGGUUUUCUUGAGUGCGUAAGAGGCAGGCGGAAUUCGUUGUGUAGCGGUGAAAUGCUUAGAUAUGACGAGGAACUCCUAUUGCGAAGGCAGCUUGCUGGGUCAUUACUGACGCUGAUGCUCGAAGGUGCGGGGAUCAAACAGGAUUA